rnacentral:rRNA from 1 species
UACAGAGGCCUCAAGCGUUGUUCGGAAUUACUGGGCGUAAAGCGAAUGUAGGUGGUGAUGCAAGUCAGAUGUGAAAGCCCUGGGCUUAACCCGGGAAUUGCGUUUGAUACUGCGUUGCUCGAGUGCAGGAGAGGUAAGUGGAAUUCCUGGUGUAGGGGUGAAAUCCGUAGAUAUCAGGAGGAAUACCGAUGGCGAAGGCAACUUACUGGCCUGUAACUGACACUGAGAUUCGAAAGCAUGGGUAGCAAACAGG